AUACGUAGGUGACAAGCGUUAUCCGGAUUUACUGGGCGUAAAGGGCGUGUAGGCGGUCUUGCAAGUCAGAAGUGAAAUUCCUGAGCUCAACUCGGGCGCUGCUUCUGAAACUGCAGGACUUGAGUGCUGGAGGGGAUAGCGGAAUUCCUAGUGGAGCGGUAAAAUGCGCAGAUAUUAGGAAGAACACCGGUGGCGGAGGCGGGUAUCUGGACAGCAACUGAAGCUGAGGCGCGAAAGCGGGGGGAGGAAACGGGAUUAGAUACCCUGGUAGUCCACGCCGUAAACGAUGAAUUCUAGGUGUAGGGGGUAUCGACUCCCUCUGUGCCGCAGGUAACACAAUAAGUAUUCCGCCUGGGGAGUACGGUCGCAAGGUUGAAACUCAAAUGAAUUGACGGGG
rnacentral:rRNA from 1 species